rnacentral:rRNA from 10 species
CGGUCACCACGGUAGGAUUCAUGACUGGGGUGAAGUCGUAACAAGGUAGCCGUAUCGGAAGGUGCGGCUGGAUCACCUCCUUUC